UGGGAUUUAAGACGGAACGUUCAUCCGAGGUUAAAAAGGAUCUUGAGGGUUUUGGCAGUUUGCCUCGAAGUGGUGCGUCUGUUGCUGUAAUGUGCACUUUACGUACAAAUCAUGCAAUGUGUUAAUGCAUGUAGUCAGCAAAAUAUGAU